UACGGAGGGUGCAAGCGUUAUCCGGAUUCACUGGGUUUAAAGGGUGCGUAGGAGGGCAGGUAAGUCAGUGGUGAAAUCUUCGAGCUUAACUCGGAAACUGCCGUUGAUACUAUCUGUCUUGAAUACCGUGGAGAUGAGCGGAAUAUGUCAUGUAGCGGUGAAAUGCUUAGAUAUGACAUAGAACACCAAUUGCGAAGGCAGCUCGUUACACGAAUAUUGACUCUGAGGCACGAAAGCGUGGGGAUCAAACAGG
rnacentral:rRNA from 2 species